rnacentral:pre_miRNA from 1 species
AGGCAAGAUGUCGGCAUAGCUGACGUGUUAAUCCGAGUGUAGCUGUGUUACAUCGUGCCAAC